UUGAACGCUGGCGGCAUGCCUUACACAUGCAAGUCGAACGGUAACAGGUCUUCGGAUGCUGACGAGUGGCGAACGGGUGAGUAAUACAUCGGAACGUGCCCGAGAGUGGGGGAUAACGAAGCGAAAGCUUUGCUAAUACCGCAUACGAUCUCAGGAUGAAAGCAGGGGACCGCAAGGCCUUGCGCUCACGGAGCGGCCGAUGGCAGAUUAGGUAGUUGGUGGGAUAAAAGCUUACCAAGCCGACGAUCUGUAGCUGGUCUGAGAGGACGACCAGCCACACUGGGACUGAGACACGGCCCAGACUCCUACGGGAGGCAGCAGUGGGGAAUUUUGGACAAUGGGCGCAAGCCUGAUCCAGCCAUGCCGCGUGCAGGAUGAAGGCCUUCGGGUUGUAAACUGCUUUUGUACGGAACGAAAAGACUCUGGUUAAUACCUGGGGUCCAUGACGGUACCGUAAGAAUAAGCACCGGCUAACUACGUGCCAGCAGCCGCGGUAAUACGUAGGGUGCGAGCGUUAAUCGGAAUUACUGGGCGUAAAGCGUGCGCAGGCGGUUAUGUAAGACAGAUGUGAAAUCCCCGGGCUCAACCUGGGAACUGCAUUUGUGACUGCGUAGCUAGAGUACGGCAGAGGGGGAUGGAAUUCCGCGUGUAGCAGUGAAAUGCGUAGAUAUGCGGAGGAACACCGAUGGCGAAGG
rnacentral:rRNA from 1 species